rnacentral:rRNA from 1 species
GGAAUUUUCCGCAAUGGGCGAAAGCCUGAUCCAGCCAUGCCGCGUGUGUGAAGAAGGUCUUCGGAUUGUAAAGCACUUUAAGUUGGGAGGAAGGGCAUUAACCUAAUACGUUAGUGUUUUGACGUUACCGACAGAAUAAGCACCGGCUAACUCUGUGCCAGCAGCCGCGGUAAUACAGAGGGUGCAAGCGUUAAUCGGAAUUACUGGGCGUAAAGCGCGCGUAGGUGGUUUGUUAAGUUGAAUGUGAAAUCCCCGGGCUCAACCUGGGAACUGCAUUCAAAACUGACUGACUAGAGUAUGGUAGAGGGUGGUGGAAUUUCCUGUGUAGCGGUGAAAUGCGCAGAUAUCAGGAGGAACACCGAUGGCGAAGGCAGGUUACUACUAAUACAUUGACGCUGAUGGACGAAAGCGUGGGUAGCGAACAGGAUUAGAUACCCUAG